CAGGCUAAGAAGGUGAUUCAAAAGCGAAGGAGGAGUUUCUGUUGAGAAAAUCCAGAGUGGAUUGCUGCAAAAAUGAGGUCUCAAUCUCCCUCCAUACUAUGCAGAAGUAUUGACCAUUAAUAUAGUCUGACUGGGAAGGGACCAGAUAGCAGAGAUGCCAAAGAACCAAAAUAAAGAAGGUCCCUAAUUAUGAAAAAGAAAAUAGACCAAUUCAUAGGAACCUGCAAACCAAUGAAAAUUAUAGAAAAUUGUUUUAUAAGUGGACCAUCAAAAUCACGCGUGAAAUGAACAUAUAUCUAAUCAGUAUCUCCAAACUCUUCAAACAGCUGCUUUUCAAAUCCCUCAAGUUGUUAGAUGAGAUCUCAUGGAUUGUAUCCCAUUCGUACUUCAUCAGAACACAUAAGGAAAAUAUCACGUAUAUGGUAUCUGUUAUUUGAUUCUAGAACAAAUCUUUUUGCCACCCCCUUAACCCAGAAAAAUCACAGGAGUAAAGUGAUAAAAUUUGGGUUGUAUUAUUAUUAUUAUUAUUAUUAUUAAUUCCCCGUCCAUCUGGCUGGGUUUCCCCAGCCACUCUGGGCGGCUUACAGCAUAUCUAAAAACAUAAUAAAAACACCAGGCAUUACAAACCUCCCAAUACAGUUCUUUCCAUGGGGGAAUCAUUAUUGAAGUUAUUAAUAUUGCACAUUUGGAAGCAAUAGGAUGAAUAAAAACUUAUUCUUAUUGAAUUAAAAACUGUCCAGUCCAAAAAUAUGGUUCAAGAGCUUAAUUACCUUGCUUCAAAACAAACAUAAAGCAAAUAAUGUUACAUCCAAAUAGUUGCAUAACAUCAUGUGCUGAUCCAAGUACAGGCAUAGAAUCUUAGAAAUAUGAAAUAACUUCACCCAGAGCUGAAAUCAAAGCUCUGCUUCUCCAACCCAGCCUGAGAACUGGAGAAUAAUUUGCACAUCCUUUCUUCUCCAGUGCGUCAGAACAAAGACCUAACUCACACACUCAAAACGGAGACUUGUAAAUGAAUACCUCAUGUGAUCUAAGUUAAACACCAAGUGUGAGUUGGCAGAGAUACAUUCUCACCCAAACAUUAACUUCUUAGACUCUCUGAGAGCUUCUUCUUCUUCUUUUUAGCUCAGUGGAGGUUUCCAUACCAUGCUACGCCUUUAGCAGUACAGAUAGAGAGUUAUUUUCCAUUUUGUUGUACUAUUAAACAAUUAUGCAUGGGAGAACAGAAGCACACAUCUAAAGAAAGGGGGAGAAGUGAAGUUGUCCAAUGGUGUCCAUUGUUGUGUCACACCACGCCCACUGGUGUGAAUGAAAAUUGGCAUGACAUGCCAGUAUAUCGGUUGAAAAAACCACAGUCCAGGCCAGGAGGAACAGGAAGUUUCGACUGGCUGGACCAAACAUUCCCUUGCAUGUCCACUCUAGCAAAACAAGGAAAGUUGUAUUUGACUGCUCCCAGUGGAUUAAAUCCCACAGAAACUUCUCUGGUUCUAAGCCAUGGAGAGUUUGUGUGUAGACAGUACUUCUGUGCUGCACCCAGCUUUUCUUUAUUCUAUGGUCUUUUCCUUCUAUCCAGACAAGGCAUGCUAAACAUAUGAAGGGAAUUCUUUUCAGAAACAAUUAUUUGAAUAAUCAUGAAAAGCUGCUGUAACAUUGCCUUUGACAACAAGCCCUCUAAAAGCCAAUUAGGAUGUGAAAUUUAUUCACUCAUAAUUUGUAUUCAUUCCUGCGAUGUACCCACACUCUCAUAUUCUGCCCUCAUUACCACUGCACAACCCAGCGGAGUCUAGUGGGGAUACGUAGCUGUAACAGAUGCCAAAGUGUGGUGUGCAAUAUGCCUGAGAUUUGGCAUUCAUAUUGAUGUGCAGCCCUCUGACCUAGUUCAACAUGAUACUUCAUUCAAUGCACAGGUAUUCUACGGGGAGGGUGUUGUCAUGGCACAUUCCGGCUGCAGAAAAAUAGUAGGAAAACAAAGCAAUAAAAGAAAGCAACAAGAGCAUGUACCAGCUGUAGCUUUGACAGGAUUGCUUAUUCAUGGCUCAGUAAAUCUGUUCAGGUGCAAGGUACGUCCCAGCAAAAAAAAAAGUAUUAUGACUAGAAUGACCCUUCCUGCAUGGUUCAUUCUGAGCAAAAGUGACUCGUGGCUUUCCACUGGCAGAUUGGCAUCUUGGUCCCCAGCCCACUGAAAGCUGCUCUCAGAAAUCUGAAUUGUAGAGCUGCCUGCUUACUUUGAUGCCCUCAGCAUCCCAAUCCUUUCCUUGUGCAGCAGGCUGUCACCUCUCUUCUGUCCCAAUGGUGUGUCUGUCCAUUACAUUUUAUCCAUCCUUGCAUCUGCUUUAGGCCCCAGGCUUCUCGUUUCUUUGUUCCAGCUGUUCAAGCACUCAGGCUGAAGGAUAGGGUGACAAUAGGGCUCUGGAAGAAAUUAUGGAUCAGAGAGAAACAGUUUGCCCACAUGGGAGAGAGAAAAUCUUACAGGUCUUACAGAGCAAUUCAAACCUCCUGUGCAAUGGACUGGGUGUGUGUGGGGGGGGUUGUUUGUUUGUUUAUUAGAUUUAUAUACCACCCUUCAUCAGAAGAUCUCAGGGUGAUUCACAAUAUGAAAACACAAGAUAGAAGGAGAAAUAAAUAGUUAAAACAAUACUCCCCACAAAAAUGUUUAAAAGGCUGCAGAAUAUUAAUCAACCAAAGGCCUGGUGCCUAAAGAUAUAUAAGGAAGAGGCCAGAUGAAUCUCCCCAUUUCACAAAUGGGGAGCCAUUGCAGAAAAGGCCCGUUCUUAUGUUGCCACCCUCCGGACCUCACGUGGAGGAGGCAAAUGAAGAAAGAUCUCAGAUGAUGAGCAUAGAGUCCAGCUCAGAUUAAGGGGAGAGGUGGUCCUUGAGAGGUGUUUCUCCACACAUAGAUGUCCCCAAUGGCCUCUCACCAGCCACUGCCUGCAGAAUGUUGUCAGUAUUGCUCUUUUGCUAUGAAGCUUCCUCUUCCACCUAGCUUUCCAGGCCUGUGCUGAGCCAGCAGGCAUUGGACCUAAUUCAGGCUUGGCUUGAUCUAGGUUGCCAUAGUAAUCUACCUGACCCCACCUUCUGCCCCAGCUGCUCUGCACAGCAGUGAUGUGGAUGAAGCAGUGGCCCUGCCACUCUGUAAAACCCUGCCAUGUUGGGGGUGGUUAGGGUUGCCAUUUUAGGAUCAGGUGAGGUGUGUGUGUUUCCUAUCACACUGUCUCCUUUAGCUUAAGCUUUUCCUUUCCACAAUUUUCCAAAUGCUGCAAUCCUGACUGGGACUGCGGGGCAAAACUGGCCCGUGCUAAGAGGAGCUUUUUUUUUUUUUUAAAGUUCCUAAUGUGUCAUGUGGUUUGACCCAAACUGAUUUUAGCAUGAUGUCAAUGUCUUCCAGUGAGAAUAUUUAUAUCCUGAUCUACUCACGCCUAGGAAAGCUUGCAGAAAUAGAUAAGACAUUUAUGUCACAAGACAUUUCCUGGCUCUGUAGCCUCAAAAAUAUUAUUGCACUGGGAUAUUUGCAGUUUUAAAAAUUCAAAAUAUUAUCUAUCAGUUAUAUAUUCUCUCCCUCUCACCUCAUCACAUGUAGUGUGUAUGUUCUUCAGAAUAAGUAGACUGACUUAACCUCUAUACUUAGGCUCAUCCAUUUAGCUUAUCUUUAUACAUGUUGCCAGUCUAUUACUUGUUGAUCAUAAAAAAUAUGGGUGUGGUCCAUCAAAAGUUCAACAAUUAUAAAUAUCAUUGAUUUCAAUGAGGGAGACAGGGCUUAUAAAUUAUUAUCUUUGGCUAGACUGCUGUGCCCUAUAUAAUGUUGUUUGGACAUUCUGAAAAGAAGUUAUUUGGAAAGACAUUUGUAACAUUUAGAAAUGAUUACCAAGCAAUAAAUAAUAAUAUAACAGCUGUUCUUAUACAAAAAUAAAAAUAUGAUGAUAUGCAUAGAUGAAUACUACUUACUUUAUGAACAUUUAUUCAUUUUGUGAGUCAUCUAGGCCGAAGCCUCUAGGUGACUUGCAAUAUACUAAUAAGAAACUGAAUUAAAAAUACAUAAAUACAAUUACAUCUUGUAAAAAAAAAAAAUCAAUAACUCAUUAUACAUUAUAGGUAAGAAAAAGCUUCCUUGUAUUAAAAGCAAAAAUAGCUCAAUAAACCCACAAUAACACAAUAAACAAUAACUCAAUAAACCCACAAUAAAACUUUCAAUAGAAAGGAGUGAUAACCCUGAACCCUAAAAACUGUAACCCUCUUAUAAGUGAUAAAACUACUGAAAAUUACUAAAAACAAGAAAAACAAAACAAAAAAGAGGAAGAAAAAAUGAAUAUAUUUGCCUGACACUGAAAAGAUAGCAGAGAAAUUUCCAGAUUUUUGGGGAAAGUAUCCUAUAGGAGGCGUCUGUCUUGUUGCAUGUAUGUAGGUGCUUUUACCUUAUGCGAGCCUAUGGCCAUAAUAAAGAUUUGACCUUGACAGGGUCAUACCAAAACCUUGAAGCAGACACUGGCAACCAAUACAAGUGGAUGAGAACCAGGGUAAUAUGUUCUGAAUGCUUGUCUCCAUUGGUGAAUUCAUGGGCUAAUUCUGCAGCAGCUGAAGCUUUUGAACCAUCUUCAAGAACACCUUCCUGUAUAGCACAUUGCAGUAACCUAAACAGGAAGCAUUGAUCCCCAAACCUAUAUGAGCAGCAGAACAUAUAUUGCCACUUACAUGGUGCUAUAUAUGCAGUGUCUACAACAUAUAUGUUUUUUUCUCUGUGAUAGCUAAUUUAUGAAGCAGAACAGCAUUGAGUAGCGCACACAUUUGCAGAAUGAAAAAUAUAUUCAUUGCUAUGUUGCAGUUUUCAGCUAAAAGAAACAACACAAUCAUUUCCAGUUCCCAGAAAGUAAAGGUUUCUGUGUAAAUAUUGCAGGCACCUAAUUAAAGCUGUUAAUUAGAAUGCAUACGAUAACUAUGGAAACUAACCACUACAGUGCAGUUUUACUAAUAGAACAAAUUCUUACAGACAACAUUUAAUUGCACACAUUAUACAUUGUAUUUUUAGAUCCUUAGAAAAGAGUUGAUCUGUUUUGAGGCCCCCCUGCUGGUGCCACUCUUCUGUAUGCUCUAUUGUCUUUACGCAUUCUUACAAGUGGCCAUUUUUUUGUCACUAAGGGCAUUAUUAUACUUGUCUCUUCUAAGGCUGUGUGCUUUUCAGAGAGUGGUGCUUGUGGAUUACUGUUUAGCCAUAGGUUUGCUUUGAUUAGAUACACUCGUGAGUGAUGCAUCGCUCCCCACCUGCCAUGAUAUGGAAUGUGUCUAAAAGGCUUAUGCCACAAGACUUCAUCUCUUUGCCACUUCAAUGGGUUUAUGUUUCACGGUCUUUUGUUUUAUCGCCCCAACAAGAGAAGAAAGAAACACUGGUAACAUCACAUUCACAUUGAUUAUGGCUCGUCUGCUCUGUAGGAUUUUGCCCUAAGCACAUUAGCUUGUUCAGCUUUCAGCAGAUCGAUAAAUAAUGACUGAAUUCCAACAGUUUCUGAAUACAAGAUGUGAAGCCAUCAGUCUCUUCCUUUCCUUUUCCUCCUAAUCAUCUCUUCACCCCUUUCAGGAAAAUCGAUACACAUUUCCAUCAGCAUUUAGAGUUUCAGUAGGAAGCAUUUUCUUCCAUGUAAGUGUUGUGUUAAGGCACAAGGUGACCACAGGGUCUCCACUACUCAGGAUUACCCAGAGAGCAGAAAUUGCCAACUGAGCAGCAUUUUAAUGUUUCAAUUCUUUACAAAGAGUAAAAAAAGCCCUGCCAUUUUCUGUCCACGUCAAUUUUCAUUACCACCAAACAAUAAAAGCUAAAGAUCCCAGCUAUUUCUCAGGAGGACUGCCUCACAAAUAAUAAUUGCUUAUUAAAGUGUUCUUUUCAAGGAAGAUUGGAAAUGGUGAUUACUUUGCAGCUAAUUUCAAAAAGAACAUAUACUGUUACUAUCUCUUGGUGUGUGGUUGGCUAUUCCCAUGCAUAUUUGCUUUGGGAGAAAAAAAAUAAACUCAUUAAACAGUCCUUAAAAGUACUUACUGUGACUGAUGAGAAAAUGCAUCUUUCCCUUGGAUUUAAGAAGGAAGAAAUCUCAUCGGCAAGCUCUCUUAUGUGGCUGCAUAUUAAAUUUUCUAAAUGGCGUAUCAUUGCCCAUCAGCAAAGGUCAGAAGUAGGCAGAUGCAUUUUAAAGAAAAAUGAAUAAUUGUAAGAGAAAUCAAUUUCAAAGUAUGGAAGGAAGGAAGUAUCGAUCUAAUUGAAUACACAAUAUUCAUGUAGGUUUUUAAACAGGCCUUGAAAACUAAUUCGUUUACUCUGACUUUUUCACAACAAUUUUAAUUGGGCUGAUGAAGUCUACUGUCCUUUCUAUGAUGGGGUGCGAUAAUUUUAAUGAACUGAUUCCUGUUUAAAUGUAUUUACUAGCUGCUUACUGGAUGUUAUGAUUGUUUUAUUUUAAAUUAUCUUUAUAUUAUUAUACACAUGUCUGAUUUAUAAAUUCAGGCGACAUUCAAUCAUUUGUGCAAUAGAAUAUCACUUGUGCAAUAAAACUUUCCCUUCCUCUCCUCCCACCAGGCUCAUCCUCACCACCACCCCACAUCUACUCCAUAGGGUCGAGGAACCCUCCAGGACAGAUUGGGGAGACACAGAGGGAUGCAGUGGAACAGAGAAUAAGGGGAAGUCUGCUGUUAUAUCCAUUGCUACAACACGUGAUGUUGAUGUUUGUGGGCUGUCUUCUCAAUAGGUUUCUUUUUAAAAGGCGGAUUAUAAAUGUAUUAAAUACAAUAAUACAACCAAUGAACAAUACAGG